CCUACGGGGGGCAGCAGUGAGGAAUAUUGGUCAAUGGACGAGAGUCUGAACCAGCCAAGUAGCGUGAAGGAUGACUGCCCUAUGGGUUGUCAACUUCUUUUAUAUGGGAAUAAAAUGUUCCACGUGUGUGAUUUUGUAUGUACCAUAUGCAUAAGGAUCGGCUAACUCCGUGCCAGCAGCCGCGGUAAUACGGAGGAUCCGAGCUUUAUCCGGAUUUCUUGUGUUUAAAGGGAGCGUAGGUGGAUUGUUAAGUCAGUUGUGAAAGUUUGCGGCUCAACCGUAAAAUUGCAGUUGAAACUGGCAGUCUUGAGUACAGUAGAGGUGGGCGGAAUUCGUGGUGGAGCGGUGAAAUGCUUAGAUAUCACGAAGAACUCCGAUUGCGAAGGCAGUUCACUGGACUGCAACUGACACUGAGGCUCGAAAGUGUGGGUAUCAAACAGGAUUAGAUACCCUGGUAGUC
rnacentral:rRNA from 1 species